rnacentral:rRNA from 1 species
UAGAGUUUGAUCAUGGCUCAGAACGAACGCUGGCGGCAGGCCUAACACAUGCAAGUCGAGCGGUCCUUCGGGACAGCGGCGGACGGGUUAGUAACGCGUGGGAACGUGCCCUUUAGCACGGAAUAGCCAUUGGAAACGAUGAUUAAUACCGUAUACGCCCUUCGGGGGAAAGAUUUAUCGCUAAAGGAUCGGCCCGCGUUAGAUUAGGUGGUUGGUGGGGUAAUAGCCUACCAAGCCUACGAUCUAUAGCUGGUCUGAGAGGAUGAUCAGCAACACUGGGACUGAGACACGGCCCAGACUUCUACGGGAGGCAGCAGUGGGGAAUCUUGGACAAUGGGCGCAAGCCUGAUCCAGCCAUGCCGCGUGAGCGAUGAAGGCCUUAGGGUUGUAAAGCUCUUUCGCCAGGGAAGAUAAUGACGGUACCUGGUAAAGAAACCCCGGCUAACUCCGUGCCAGCAGCCGCGGUAAUACGGAGGGGGUUAGCGUUGUUCAGAAUUACUGGGCGUAAAGCGCACGUAGGCGGAUUAGUAAGUGAGGGGUGAAAUCCCGAGGCUCAACCUCGGAACUGCCUUCCAUACUGCUAGUCUAGAGUUCGAGAGAGGUGAGUGGAAUUCCGAGUGUAGAGGUGAAAUUCGUAGAUAUUCGGAGGAACACCAGUGGCGAAGGCGGCUCACUGGCUCGAUACUGACGCUGAGGUGCGAAAGCGUGGGGAGCAAACAGGAUCAGAUACCCUGGUAGUCCACGCCGUAAACGAUGAGAGCUAGUCGUCGGGGGGCAUGCCCU